AUGACUAGUCGCUUUGAACACGAAGAAGAGAAGAUAAAAGGAUCUAGAAAAUUACCAAUACCGUCGGAGGAGAAGCUGAGGAAGGCGGUGAUCAAUAAGAUUCAAAGACCUCAGAGAUUGGAAUUGCGGAUUCAAAAUGAUGACAAAAGCAGGUUCACGGUUUUAAAUGGUGAAGUGCUUGGAUUUGGUUGCAAGGAACAAAGUGAGGAAAAUGUUUGA